GGAUGAACGCUGGCGGCGUGCCUAAUACAUGCAAGUCGAGCGAACAGACGAGGAGCUUGCUCCUUCGACGUUAGCGGCGGACGGGUGAGUAACACGUAGGUAACCUACCUAUAAGACUGGGAUAACUUCGGGAAACCGGAGCUAAUACCGGAUAAUAUUUCGAACCGCAUGGUUCGAUAGUGAAAGAUGGCUUUGCUAUCACUUAUAGAUGGACCUGCGCCGUAUUAGCUAGUUGGUAAGGUAACGGCUUACCAAGGCAACGAUACGUAGCCGACCUGAGAGGGUGAUCGGCCACACUGGAACUGAGACACGGUCCAGACUCCUACGGGAGGCAGCAGUAGGGAAUCUUCCGCAAUGGGCGAAAGCCUGACGGAGCAACGCCGCGUGAGUGAUGAAGGUCUUCGGAUCGUAAAACUCUGUUAUUAGGGAAGAACAAACGUGUAAGUAACUGUGCACGUCUUGACGGUACCUAAUCAGAAAGCCACGGCUAACUACGUG
rnacentral:rRNA from 1 species